AAAGGUCAUUAACCAGGGCCCUCCUUUUUAGUUCUUUCCGUUUGCUUGCGAUCACACAAGAAAGAACGAACACACGUCCAUACGCCGCUUGUGUUUUCGCUAAUUUCGUGAAUUAAUUUGUACUUAUUUCAUUUUACACAAACAAGAUGAGUGGAAGACAAGGUGGAAAGAAGAAGCCACUAAAAGCCCCCAAGAAAGAAAAGGAAGAUUUGGAUGAGGAAGACGUUGCUUUUAAGCAAAAACAAAGAGAAGAUCAAAAGAAGUUAGAUGAAUUGAAAAAGAAGGCAGCAGGGAAAGGCCCUCUAACAAGUGGCGGUAUAAAGAAGUCAGGAAAGAAAUAACAUUUGUAUAAAUCUGUUUUUAACAAAAUUUUGACAAAAAUAUAAA